GAGUCAACCUAGUGACAUGCACCGGAUGCCGUACUCCAUGCCCUGUACCCUACAGUUAUGAGUCAACCUAGUGACAUACAUUGGACACCGUACUCCAUGCCCUGUACCCUACAGUUAUGAGUCAACCUAGUGACAUACAUUGGACACCGUACUCCAUGCCCUGUACCCUACAGUUAUGAGUCAACCUAGUGACAUACACUGGACACCGUACCCCAUGCCCUGUACCCUACAGCUGUGAGUCAACCUAGUAACAUGCACCAGACACCUUACCCCAUACCUUGUACCCUACAGUUAUGAGUCAACCUAGUGACAUACACUGGACACUGUACCCCAUGCCAUGUACCCUCCAGUUAUGAAUCAACCUAGUGACAUCCACUGGACUCCAUACCCCAUGCCCUGAACCCUACAGGUAUGAGUCAGCCUAAUGAUGCCACACCAGAUGCUGUUACUGGCAUCCUAUAGGUUAAUAAUGUACAGCCAAUCACUCGGCACUGUUGUUUCUGUAAACCGACA
rnacentral:lncRNA from 1 species